UACGAAGGGGGCUAGCGUUGCUCGGAAUCACUGGGCGUAAAGGGCGCGUAGGCGGCGUUUUAAGUCGGGGGUGAAAGCCUGUGGCUCAACCACAGAAUGGCCUCGAUACUGGGACGCUUGAGUCUGGUAGAGGUUGGUGGAACUGCGAGUGUAGAGGUGAAAUUCGUAGAUAUUCGCAAGAACACCGGUGGCGAAGGCGGCCAACUGGACCAGCACUGACGCUGAGGCGCGAAAGCGUGGGGAGCAAACAGG
rnacentral:rRNA from 1 species